AUGGAGGGCGGCAAGCCAUCCACUCAGCGGCACUCGUCCGGCGCCGUUCGCCCGAUUGUGCUAGUAGUGGUCGCGGUGAGCCUGGUUGUCGUGCUCUUCAUGGCCACGCGGGUCUCGCCCGGAUGCCGUCCACUCUUAAAAGCUGUGUACCAACAAGGCCUAGGCCGUGCCGGCCCCUCCGCGACGGCGGAUCCGCUCCUCGGCGGCCUCCUCUCGCCGGACUUCGAUGACCGCUCCUGCCUCAGCCGCUACCGCGCCUCGCUCUACCGCCAGCCGUCGCUCCACAACCUGUCAUCGCACCUCGUCUCGCGCCUCCGACGCUACGAGUCCCUCCACCAGCUCUGCGGGCCUGGCACACCGGCCUACUCGCGCGCCGUCGCCCGCCUGCGCGAGGCCAUGGAUGGGCAUGCGUCAUCGAACAGUACCAGCAGCUCCGACACCGAGUGCAGCUACAUCAUCUGGACCCCCGUAGAGGGGCUCGGCAACCGCAUCCUCUCCACCGCCUCCGCUUUCCUCUACGCGCUGCUCACUGACCGUGUCCUCCUUGUCCACCACCCCGCCGAUGACCUCAACGACAUGUUCUGCGAGCCGUUCCCGGGCUCUAACACCACCUGGGUGCUCCCGGAGGAAGGCUUUGCCAUCCAGGGCAUCAAGGGGCUCAACGUCCGCACCCGGGAGAGCCUCGGCAACGCGGUGGGCCGUGGCAGGGACCCGCCGGCGCCGUGGCUGUACGUGCACCUACAGACAGAUUACAAGCCGGACGAUCGGCGCUUCUUCUGCGACGACGGACAGGAGACGCUGCGUGGCGUGCGAUGGCUCGUGCUCCGCUCCGACAACUACUUCGUGCCGGGCCUCUUCUUCCUCCCGCGGUACGAGGAAGAGCUGGUCCGGCUGUUCCCGCGCCGCGACACUGUGUUCCACCACCUCGGGCGGUACCUGUUCCACCCGAGCAACACGGUGUGGGGCAUGGCGACGCGGUACUACAGCUCGUACCUCGCCCCGGCGGAGGAGCGGGUGGGCGUCCAGGUGCGCGAGUUCAAGUAUGCGCGCAUCUCCGCCGACGAACGCUACAAGCAGAUCAUCUCGUGCGCGAGCCGCGAGAGCCUCCUGCCCGCCGUCGAGAACGCUACUCUCCCGAGCUCUGCCUCUGACCACCACCAGGAGCAGGAGCAGGAGCAGAAGAAACGCAAGGCCGUGCUCAUCGUGUCGCUCAACGGGGACUACUACGACAAGCUGAGCAGCCUGUACUACGAGCACGGCGCGGCGGCUGUGACUGUGAGCGUGUUCCAGCCGACGCACCUGGGCACGCAGCACUCGGAGAAGCGGCAGCACAACCAGAAGGCGUUGGCUGAGAUAGUGUUGCUCAGCUUUUCGGACGUGGUCGUCACGUCCGCCCAAUCCACGUUCGGCUACGUCAGCCAGGGGCUGGCCGGGCUGAGGCCCUGGGUGCUCAUGCUCCCCGUCGACGGGAAGGUCCCCGAUCCGCCGUGUCGUCUCGCCUCCACCAUCGAGCCCUGCUUCAUGAAGGCGCCGCACUAUGACUGCCGGACCAGGGGAGACAGCGACAACGGCAAGCUGGUCCCGUACAUCCGGCAGUGCGAGGAUGUGUCGUAUGGCGUUCAGUUGGUGGAGUAA
rnacentral:rRNA from 1 species